UACGGGGGGGGCAAGCGUUGUUCGGAAUUACUGGGCGUAAAGGGCUCGUAGGCGGCCAACUAAGUCAGACGUGAAAUCCCCAGGCUCAACCUGGGAACUGCGUCUGAUACUGGAUGGCUUGAAUCCGGGAGAGGGAUGCAGAAUUCCAGGUGUAGCGGUGAAAUGCGUAGAUAUCUGGAGGAACACCGGUGGCGAAGGCGGCAUCCUGGACCGGUAUUGACGCUGAGGAGCGAAAGCCAGGGGAGCAAACGGG
rnacentral:rRNA from 1 species